UAUAUAUAUACCAGUCUACACCGCUGAAAAUAAGGACAAAAUCAAUGGCUACACCGCUGUACCAGCCUAACCCGAUUCGUCCGCCCGCGCACGUUAGCCGUUUUCUCUCUCCUCCUCUUUGUACCCUACAAUUAGUGAUGGGUUUUUGAAUCUGAUUGACGAGAGGGAUCCGCGGGGUGGAGGUGUGAAACCCUGGCCUACAAUUCUUGAGCCGGGGGGGAAUCGCUGGUGGGAGAUUGGAGAUGUAGUGGGAGGGAGGGAGAAUCUACCGAAGGAGUAAAGAUUGGAAGGACGAUGUCGUGGUUGUCGAGCCAGGAGAGGCACUCGAAACCGUAUCUACGGCUCUACUCGUCCUUCGGUUGGCGCUUUCUCAUCUGCCAUGCCGAUUUCCUCACUUUAGCUUUUCCAUUUUGGUUCUGGUGCUGGCUUAGAGAAUUAGUCACCGCAAUCGGUCAGCAUUUUCAUAGAUAAAGAUUUGGCAGCCCUAACUUCUCCAAUUUGAACUGCACAUCUAGUUGGAUAUCUCAUUGUAAUCUUGCAUUCUGGACUACUACGUCUGCCAAAAUUGUUUUAGAUGGAGCAUGACAUUAACAGGUUUCUAGAAAGCAUAUUGUGUCUCCUGCUUGCUAUGUAGGUUAAGCAAUUCUUGGAGAUGAGAACAAAAGCUGAAGAGGGAGAGAGAGAGAGGCAUCUCACUUUAUACUUGCAUGGGGACAUUGAUGGUCAGUUCCACCUACACUCUAUGCCCCCAGAAGAUGGAUGGUAGACCUACCAGAGGCAUGUGUUUCAUACAUGGCAGACCAGGAUUCAUUCAUACUCUCCCUCAUUCUUCAUAGUUACUUGAGAGUGAUAUCUUGAAGCUUGUCUCAUCGUGAUCUCUUAAUGCAUCUUCCUAGUUAAUUUUUUGAUCCUGGAAGCAUAAAAUGUCAUUCUAAAUCGGAAUUACUCUAUGACAUCUGA